rnacentral:rRNA from 1 species
GGGUGAGUAACGCGUGAGGAACCUGCCUCAAAGAGGGGGACAACAGUUGGAAACGACUGCUAAUACCGCAUAAGCCCACGACCCGGCAUCGGGUUGAGGGAAAAGGAGCAAUCCGCUUUGAGAUGGCCUCGCGUCCGAUUAGCUAGUUGGUGAGGUAACGGCCCACCAAGGCGACGAUCGGUAGCCGGACUGAGAGGUUGAACGGCCACAUUGGGACUGAGACACGGCCCAGACUCCUACGGGAGGCAGCAGUGGGGAAUAUUGCACAAUGGGGGAAACCCUGAUGCAGCGACGCCGCGUGGAGGAAGAAGGUCUUCGGAUUGUAAACUCCUGUUGUUGAGGAAGAUAAUGACGGUACUCAACAAGGAAGUGACGGCUAACUACGUGCCAGCAGCCGCGGUAAAACGUAGGUCACAAGCGUUGUCCGGAAUUACUGGGUGUAAAGGGAGCGCAGGCGGGAAGACAAGUUGGAAGUGAAAUCCAUGGGCUCAACCCAUGAACUGCUUUCAAAACUGUUUUUCUUGAGCAGUGCAGAGGUAGGCGGAAUUCCCGGUGUAGCGGUGGAAUGCGUAGAUAUCGGGAGGAACACCAGUGGCGAAGGCGGCCUACUGGGCACCAACUGACGCUGAGGCUCGAAAGUGUGGGUAGCAAACAGGAUUAGAUACCCUGGUAGUCCACACCGUAAACGAUGAUUACUAGGUGUUGGAGGAUU